rnacentral:rRNA from 1 species
GAUGAACGCUGGCGGCGUGCCUAAUACAUGCAAGUAGAACGCUGAAGGAGGAGCUUGCUCUUCUGGAUGAGUUGCGAACGGGUGAGUAACGCGUAGGUAACCUGCCUGGUAGCGGGGGAUAACUAUUGGAAACGAUAGCUAAUACCGCAUGACAACAGUUAUUGCAUGAUAACUGUUUAAAAGGGGCAACUGCUCCACUACCAGAUGGACCUGCGUUGUAUUAGCUAGUUGGUGAGGUAACGGCUCACCAAGGCGACGAUACAUAGCCGACCUGAGAGGGUAAUCGGCCACACUGGGACUGAGACACGGCCCAGACUCCUACGGGAGGCAGCAGUAGGGAAUCUUCGGCAAUGGACGGAAGUCUGACCGAGCAACGCCGCGUGAGUGAAGAAGGUUUUCGGAUCGUAAAGCUCGGUUGUAAGAGAAGAACGAGUGUGAGAGUGGAAAGUUCACACUGUGACGGUAUCUUACCAGAAAGGGACGGCUAACUACGUG